AGUUUGAUCCUGGCUCAGAUUGAACGCUGGCGGCAGGCCUAACACAUGCAAGUCGAACGGUAACAGGAAGAAGCUUGCUUCUUUGCUGACGAGUGGCGGACGGGUGAGUAAUGUCUGGGAAACUGCCUGAUGGAGGGGGAUAACUACUGGAAACGGUAGCUAAUACCGCAUAACGUCGCAAGACCAAAGAGGGGGACCUUCGGGCCUCUUGCCAUCGGAUGUGCCCAGAUGGGAUUAGCUAGUAGGUGGGGUAACGGCUCACCUAGGCGACGAUCCCUAGCUGGUCUGAGAGGAUGACCAGCCACACUGGAACUGAGACACGGUCCAGACUCCUACGGGAGGCAGCAGUGGGGAAUAUUGCACAAUGGGCGCAAGUCGCAAGGCAAGAGGGCGACCUUCGCCUUUGCAUUGAUGCCAGUGGAUAGCUUAGGUGUAACGCUCACCUAGGCGACGAUCUAGCUGUUCGAGAGGAUGCAGCCAAUGGACUGAGACCCCGUCCCGGCUCCUACGGAGGCAGCAGUGGGGAAUAUUGCACAAUUGGCGCAAGCCUGAUGCAGCCAUGCCGCGUGUAUGAAGAAGCCUUCGGGUGUAAAGUACUUUCAGCGGGGGAGGAAGGGAGUAAAGUUAUACUUUGCUCAUUGACGUUACCCGCAGAAGAAGCACCGGCUAACUCCGUGCCAGCAGCGCGGUAAUACGGAGGGUGCAAGCGUAAUCGGAAUUACUGGGCGUAAAGCGCACGCAGGCGGUUUGUUAAGCCAGAUGUGAAAUCCCCGGGCUCAACCUGGGAACUGCAUCUGAUACUGGCAAGCUUGAGUCUCGUAGAGGGGGGUAGAAUUUCAGGUGUAGCGGUGAAAUGCGUAGAGAUCUGGAGGAAUACCGGUGGCGAAGGCGGCCCCCUGGACGAAGACUGACGCUCAGGUGCGAAAGCGUGGGGAGCAAACAGGAUUAGAUACCCUGGUAGUCCACGCCGUAAACGAUGUCGACUUGGAGGUUGUGCCCUUGAGGCGUGGCUUCCGGGGCUAACGCGUUAAGUCGACCGCCUGGGGAGCACGGCCGCAAGGUUAAAACUCAAAUGAAUUGACGGGGGCCCGCACAAGCGGUGGAGCAUGUGGUUUAAUUCGAUGCAACGCGAAGAACCUUACCUGGUCUUGACAUCCACGGAAGUUUUCAGAGAUGAGAAUGUGCCUUCGGGAACCGUGAGACAGGUGCUGCAUGGCUGUCGUCAGCUCGUGUUGUGAAAUGUUGGGUUAAGUCCCGCAACGAGCGCAACCCUUAUCCUUUGUUGCCAGCGGUCCGGCCGGGAACUCAAAGGAGACUGCCAGUGAUAAACUGGAGGAAGGUGGGGAUGACGUCAAGUCAUCAUGGCCCUUACGACCAGGGCUACACACGUGCUACAAUGGCGCAUACAAAGAGAAGCGACCUCGCGAGAGCAAGCGGACCUCAUAAAGUGCGUCGUAGUCCGGAUUGGAGUCUGCAACUCGACUCCAUGAAGUCGGAAUCGCUAGUAAUCGUGGAUCGGAAUGCCACGGUGAAUACGUUCCCGGGCCUUGUACACACCGCCCGUC
rnacentral:rRNA from 1 species